AAUAAAGAAAUGAGAGAAGGAGAAAAAGAAAGGAGGGAAGAAGAGAAAAGAGGAUCGGGAGACUGCACUUCCUUCCUUCAUCAUUUUCUUUUUUUUCUUUCUUUC
rnacentral:ribozyme from 11 species